GUGUGCUGGCCUCUAGGGGCAUGUGCACGCUUCACUAGUCUUUCAACCACCUGUGAACUUUUGAUAGAUCUGUGAAGUCGUCUCUCAAGUCGUCAGACUUGGUUGCUGGGAUUUAAACGUCUCGGUGUGACUACGCAGUCUAUUUACUUACACACCCCAAAUGUAUGUCUACGAAUGUCAUUUAAUGGGCCUUGUGCCUUUAAACCAUAAUACAACUUUCAACAACGGAUCUCUUGGCUCUCGCAUCGAUGAAGAACGCAGCGAAAUGCGAUAAGUAAUGUGAAUUGCAGAAUUCAGUGAAUCAUCGAAUCUUUGAACGCACCUUGCGCCCCUUGGUAUUCCGAGGGGCAUGCCUGUUUGAGUGUCAUUAAAUUCUCAAACUCACUUUGGUUUCUUUCCAAUUGUGAUGUUUGGAUUGUUGGGGGCUGCUGGCCUUGACAGGUCGGCUCCUCUUAAAUGCAUUAGCAGGACUUCUCAUUGCCUCUGCGCAUGAUGUGAUAAUUAUCACUCAUCAAUAGCACGCAUGAAUAGAGUCCAGCUCUCUAAUCGUCCGCAAGGACAAUUUGACAAUUUGACCUCAAAUCAGGUAGGACUACCCGCUGAACUUAAGCAUAUCAAUAAGCGGAGGAA
rnacentral:rRNA from 1 species